rnacentral:lncRNA from 1 species
GAGUGCUGCAGUCCAUGGGGUCACAAAGAGUCAGACACGACUUGGCGACUGAACAUCAACAACACUGACAAAUUAGGAUAGACUUAUUUUAGCUUUAAGAGAAGAAUAUAAAAACAAAGACAUAGUGAGUGAAUAAAGAUGAGUUGGAGGGAAGGAAGGAGAGCACCUGUUACCUCAUUUUAGAAACAGUGACUAUAGCUGGAGACUGGAGUGGAGCCAAAGUGCUGAACAUCUUGCAGAGUGGAGUUAAGGGUAACCCACAAAUUGAACACUGGCAACUCUCACCUCUGCACCUGGAAAACUAGUUUAAAAGAUCUGGAAAGGUUGAUUCCCAGGAACCUAUAAAUUCUUCACGACAGAGGGAGAAGAGGGAAAGUUCUGUCAAUGAUUAAAAACUGGAGACAGGACAAAAAGGCAAGAUUCUGAAUGAUGUCUAGCUGCUGUAAGGAAAGAGCCAUCUGCUUAUUGGAACAGAGUCACAUAUUUAAUUCAUCAUUUAGAAUAGGAGAGGGUGAGCUUAUUGUGUUGAAUUACUGACAAGCACUUGGAAGGAGAAGAAUAAUCCAGAGAAAGCAAUAGAUAUCUUCAGCUCAAACUCUUGUCAGAAACAGUGUUGGCAAUGGUGGAUAGAAGAAAGAGUAGCAACCUUCAAAGCUGAAAUUAUUGGUGAAAUAAAACGCUACCAUCUCUGCCUGAUUUUCACCCUGAGAGUCAGAAACUCAGCAGAUAUUAUUGGAAGGAUGGUGGAUGCCCAGCUUCUGAUUUAUCUUUUUUUAUCAGAAAAGAAAAAGAGGAAUGCAAUUUCACAGGAUGGAAAUAACUUGUGGUGAACCACUGCCAUCCAGAUCAACUUUAAGUCCAAAGGGUUCAUUCAUCUUGAACUAGAUCCUGGUGCAGCCCAGUGUACUGCUGUUCUUGAAAUCAGGCACAGAAAUUCUUGAAGCAAUGCUUCACAUUUGCAUUUAUGAUUUGCUUAAAAUAUUCCACUUAGCCUUUCCUCCCAGGAAACAAAGCCAGCCUACUUGAUUAUUGAAUAGCCCUUUUCGGAUGCUUAGUUUGAGGAGAUUUUAUUAAAGAUUACGGGAAACUUGAAUUUUAC